GCCUUCGUGGUGUAGUGGGCCAGCACACUGAGCCGGUAUUUCAGAGGUCCGUGGUUCGAUCCCCGGCGAAGGCA
rnacentral:tRNA from 1 species